rnacentral:lncRNA from 1 species
GCGCUCCUGGGCCGGUCCAUUUUUGUCUCCCCUUCAGCGAUGGUUUCUCUCCUCUCGCUGAAGGCGAGAUAUAGGUGCGCCCGUUACUUCCCGGGCUUAUCGGUGCACCUUUAAACCUGACAAUCUCGGGCUCUUCAGUGCGCUCAGAAUAGCUGCUCUUAAAUUUUAAGAGCGAUUUUUUUCGCACGUAGAUUGAAAAUAUAUUUUAUGAGCAUAAGAGAAAAUAUUUCAGAGUGUAGGUUCCAUCCAUGGCGAGGCAGAAUUUACAGAGUGGGGCUACCUAAAAAAAACAGACCUCACUAGGAGCGUUGCACUAGGGCUGUCUGUGGGCCUUAUUGCAUGCUUUCUGGCCAUAUCUUUCUCCACUGUCUGUCAAUCCAUACAUCAUGAGACUCUCAGAUAAUUGAAUUUUGCACCAACUCUGCUGGGCAGCCCAUUGUGCUGAAUAGAAAUAAUGAGUUACAUCAUUCUGUACUCUGUAGUGUGUGGGCACAACUUGACCAGACAAAUACUAUGAUGCCCCUUGUGCCGUUCAGCUCUGAUCAAUACAUCUUUACACAUUUCUACAUCCACUGAAAUUGCCAUGGCAAUCAGAAUAGGCAUCCAUAUCCUCGAUCAUCAGGAAAGCAAUGGUGAUUAGUACCAACUUCUAGUGCCACCGAAAGAGAUUUUCUAUGUGCGUCUGAUGUCUUUUCAUUUCAUGAGGCCCUUUCACUUUCAUGGAGUAAUAGAAAAAAAAACUGUGGUAGCUGCCUAUUAGCCCCAAAGAGGCGCAAAGCCUUUGUCGAUUUGGGUGAUUGCGCUUCCCACUUUUAUUCGCCACGACGAUCAAAGGCUCUCGAUGCUGCUAGUGCGUGGUUGUACGUGGUAACUAGCAUGCUCCAAGAGAGGAUGUAAUUGCUCUCAAGAAAGAAUCUUAGGUUGAGCCGAGCCCAACUUUGGUGAGCACUGCCGGCCGGUGGCUAGCUUUAUAUCAGCAUGUGUCUGUCGACUGUCAAGGCUCACUUUGAUUCUCCAUCCAACAACCAUGCAUGCUUUGUCAACCCUCACUUGAUCUUUUCCCUCCCAACAUACAUCUGUUAAUCAUCAUAAUGUUCAAGGCCAUGCAUCUACAAUUACAAAAGUGUACUACUCUCUAGGAAUAGACCGGCGAUUCCUAGUUGUUGAUGCCACCAGUAUGCAUGCAUGCCUGGAUCUGACUGUAGCUCGCCGGACCGGUUGUUGCCAUCCCCUGCAGUUGGGAGGUCUGGUCUGGAGCAAUCUUUCACUGCAACUCAUGCAUACAAUCAAUGGCCUUGCCUUCCAUGCUUAUGGAAUGGUGCUGCUCUUAGCAAGCCAUUCCCAUACUUUAAAGCCAAGCCACAUCCGCUUCCUACUCCUGCACCAAAUACUACUUCUAGUAUAGUAAUUAAAAGCCUUAUUCGUCGCUCAAGUUCAUGGUUGCUUCUGGUUGGUUGGUGACCUCCGAACCAUCGCUGAAGGGUCUACAGGAAGGAUGCAUCAUCAUGCAACAGCCACCAGCUGGCCGUGCAGUUGGAUGGAUCGGGUGCUAUGAUCGCUAGUGCUAGAUGUAGUAAAGCUAAUCAACUAAUUGCCGUACUUACCAGUAUUGUUUAAUCAGGUCCACACGCAUUUUCAUGCAAAUUAACCUACCCGGCUAAAGCUAGCACCACUGCACCAGUCUGACCAGAGUCGCCCUGGGUGCAUGCUUGAUGGCACUUCUAGUUCUAGGUUCUACACCAUCUAGUAAACAAGAUCAAAUUUCACACCAUUCUAAUCUAGCAAAAUUCUUGGUCAUUAUAUGUUUCUAAACAUGCCGGUUUUCCCCUUCCGUAGAGACGUAAGGUGAGUGUCACUAACAUCUACUGCCAAUAUCAGUAGCGUAGCACUUGUAGCAGGUAGUCUUAAUUGUUUUGCAAAACGGAAAACUGGAAAUAGCUGAUCUCGCUCGUGGGAUGGAAUUAUAUCCGAUUGUAAUGCGAUGAUAUAUGGUAGAACGAUUUUCCUUUUCUGGAUCUCAUCUGAUCAGACAUCUGAGACAGUAUACAUUUGCAGAACUAUCUAUGAGGAAGCGUAGAACCCUUUGUCUCGGACCGCAUUGUAUUUAUAGGAUCAAUACCAUGACAUACAAGUUGAUUCUCUAGGAGGUUACAAGAGAUAAGGGAAAGGCAAAGAGAUAAGAGGAAACCGGUUUAAAGUGAUUUCCUAUCCCUAUACAGUUUAUAUUCUAACACUCCCCCUCAAUCUAAACUCUAUUUGCCAAGGUUGAGAUUGUACUUGAAAUCAUCUAACCUCCUCACUGUGAGAGGCUUUGUGAACCCAUCAGCAAGUUGAUCAAGUAACUUCCGAGUUACUCUUUCUCUGACAAAAUGAAAAUCAACUUCAAUAUGUUUUGUCCGUGCAUGAAAAACAGGGUUUGCUGAAAGAUAGGUUGCAUCAAGAUUGUCACACCAUAAUCUAGCAGCUUGUGGAACUUUCACUCCAAGUUCAUGUAACAGUGUCUGAAUCCACAUUACUUCAGCUGUUGCAUUAGCCAAAGCUUUAUACUCAGCCUCAGUGCUUGACCUCGAGACCGUUGCCUAUUUUCUUGCACUCCAUGACACAAGGUUUGUUGCCAGAAACACAACAAAACCACCAGUUGACCUUCUAUCAUCUGCACAUCCUGCCCAAUCUGCAUCAGAGUAUGCUAAUACAAGCAUAGAUGAAGACUUAACAAUCUGGAGACCAAGUCCCUCUGUAAACUUGAGAUACCUCAAAAUCCUUUUUACUGCUGUCCAAUGAGAAGUAGUAGGAGCAUGCAAAUAUUGGCAUACUUUGUUAACAGAGUAUGAAAUAUCAGGACGUGUAAGAGUCAAGUACUGUAAUGCACCUACAAUGCUUCUAUAAUUUGUUGCAUCAUCUGGCCCAAGUGCUUCUCCACUUUCAAUAGUAAGUUUUUCUAAAGUAGAGAUAGGUGUACUGACUGGCUUACACUUUUCCAUACCUACCCUUCUGAGAAUAUCAGUUGUAUAUUUUCCUUGUGUAAGAAUUAUACCAUCCUUUACCUUCUUGACCUCAAUUCCAAGAAAGUAAUGUAGAUCUCCCAAAUCCUUAAGAGCAAAUUCCAGUUUUAGAUCCUUGAGCAAGCAAGUUGUGGCAUCUGGACUUGAACUGGCAACAAUUAUGUCAUCAACAUAGACAAGAAAAAAUAUAGUAACAUUGUUCUUAUUAUAAAAGAAUAAUGAAGUAUCGCCUUUGAUGAUGAAAACCCAAGCUUUUCAACUGUGUACUUAGCCUUGAGUACCAGGCUCUUGGGGCCUGUUUUAACCCAUACAAAGCUUUAUCCAACUUACAGAUAUAAUGUGGUGUGUUUUUGUUUUCAUAUCCUGGCGGCUGCCGCAUGAACACUUCUUCCUCAAGAACACCAUGAAGAAACACGUUCUAGACGUCUAGCUGUCGUAGGCUCCAACCUCUGGAAAUAGCAAUAGACAACACAAGUCGAAUAGUAGCAGAUUUAAUAACAGGACUAAAGGUAUCCUCAUAGUCUAUACCAAAUCUCUGUUUAAAACCUUUUGCAACUAGUCUGGCCUUGUAUCUGUCAAUACUACCAUCAGCUCUUUUCUUAAUUUUAUAUACCCAUUUGCAGUCAAUCACAUUUGCACCCCUCUUUGGUCGAACUAACCGCCAAGUUUUAUUUUGAAUGAGUGCAUCAUAUUCAACAUCCAUAGCCUUCUUCCAAUCCUUAUGUGCAAGAGCAUCAUGCAAAUUUGUUGGUUCACCACUAUUUGCGAGGAAAGCAUGUUUAAGUUUAUCAUACCUGACCGUACCAUCCGUAUAUUUCUUUUCCCGGACAAUACCGGACCGAGACCGUGUAUGACGGGGAGGAACCGGUGUUGCACCACGUCUGGCCACAAAAGAUCCCGAUCCUGCAGUAACACUGUCAUGCACAGGAGAUCCGACCGGGCCGACCGAGCCUUCGCCUGGUGCAGACGUGGCAAUAGCACACGCGUUGCCCCCCUCGUCAGCGGCAUCGG